rnacentral:ncRNA from 1 species
ACCAAGGAGUCUAACAUGUGCGCGAGCCGCGGGGCAGUACGAAACCCGUAAGGCGAAAUGAAGGUGAACGCCGGCGCGGUCCGGCGGAGGUUGGAUCCCGUCCCGUCGGGGCGGGCGCACUACCGGCCGAUCUUCUCCGCCCUGUCGGCGAGGUCGAGCGAGAGCGUGCAAGUCGGGACCCGAAAGAUGGUGAACAAUGCCUGAGGAGGUUGAGCCAGAGGGAAACUCUGGUGGAGGACCGUAGCGAUUCUGACGUGCAAAUCG